AACGAACGCUGGCGGCAUGCCUAACACAUGCAAGUCGAACGAGACCUUCGGGUCUAGUGGCGCACGGGUGCGUAACGCGUGGGAACCUGCCUUUAGGUUCGGAAUAACUCAGAGAAAUUUGAGCUAAUACCGGAUAAUGUCUUCGGACCAAAGAUUUAUCGCCUUUAGAUGGGCCCGCGUAAGAUUAGCUAGUUGGUGGGGUAAAGGCCUACCAAGGCGACGAUCUUUAGCUGGUCUGAGAGGAUGAUCAGCCACACUGGGACUGAGACACGGCCCAGACUCCUACGGGAGGCAGCAGUGGGGAAUAUUGGACAAUGGGCGAAAGCCUGAUCCAGCAAUGCCGCGUGAGUGAUGAAGGCCUUAGGGUUGUAAAGCUCUUUUACCCGAGAUGAUAAUGACAGUAUCGGGAGAAUAAGCUCCGGCUAACUCCGUGCCAGCAACCGCGGUAAU
rnacentral:rRNA from 1 species